UUCGUGCGGCGUCACGGCCAUACUUUUCCCCUGUUGCUCAUGGCUGCGAAUCUCUACGCGGCUCGUUCGAGUGUCAGGCCGUGUCCAGAGCGACAUGGAACGUCUUAGCACCCGAUAUUCUCCUCUUCUUUACAUUCCACGAAGGGGAAUGGGUCGGUGGUUCCAGACAUCA
rnacentral:snoRNA from 1 species